rnacentral:tRNA from 1 species
GGGAGCGUAGCUCAGAUGGUAGAGCGCGCGCUUAGCAUGCGAGAGGUACGGGGAUUGAUAACCCCGCUCUUCCA